rnacentral:rRNA from 1 species
CAGCAGCCGCGGUAAUACGUAGGUGGCAAGCGUUGUCCGGAAUUAUUGGGCGUAAAGGGCUCGCAGGCGGUUUCUUAAGUCUGAUGUGAAGGCCCCCGGCUCAACCGGGGAGGGUCAUUGGAAACUGGGAAACUUGAGUGCAGAAGAGGAGAGUGGAAUUCCACGUGUAGCGGUGAAAUGCGUAGAGAUGUGGAGGAACACCAGUGGCGAAGGCGACUCUCUGGUCUGUAACUGACGCUGAGGAGCGAAAGCGUGGGGAGCGAACAGGAUUAGAUACCCCGGUAGUCCCUGUCUCUUAUAU